rnacentral:rRNA from 1 species
UACGUAGGGGGCAAGCGUUGUCCGGAUUUAUUGGGCGUAAAGAGCGUGUAGGCGGCCAGGCAGGUCCGUUGUGAAAACUCGAGGCUCAACCUCGAGACGCCGGUGGAAACCGUAAGGCUAGAGUCCGGAGGAGGAGAGUGGAAUUCCUGGUGUAGCGGUGAAAUGCGCAGAUAUCAGGAAGAACACCUAUGGCGAAAGCAGCUCUCUGGGACGGUACUGACGCUGAGACGCGAAAGCGUGGGGAGCGAACAGG